CAAACACACUAGAAUUCUCAUUCAAGUCUCAGCUUUGCAUAAAAGAAGCCUACAUUUCUUCAAUAAUUCUGCAAUAAGAAUUUACCGUUCAUCAAUCAGUGGCACAAUUGAACAGAAAUGAUGCCCUAAGUUAACCGGUUCAUGUUCAUGCAUUGUAGUGUACCGUGCGCAGCACAAGGAAUCAGCAAGCAGUGAAGCUAACCCUAAAUCGAAAAUUGGGGGAUUGAAAAAUGGUACCUCAGAUCAGGCUGAGCCGAGUGCCGGAGUGCAGACUGGGCGGUGGGUGGCUGCCGCCGGCUUGCAGGGCCGCGGCAGGGCAGCAGGGUCACGGCCGGGGUAGGCCGAGGGCGCGACGGAGAGGCAGGUGCGGAGGAGCCUCCUGGGAGGAUGGGCCGCCGGCGACGAGCAAGGGCGGCGAGGCGGGCAAAGGCGGGGACGGGGCGGCCGGCGGCGGUGCGUCGGGCAGGGUGUGUAGGGUUAAG
rnacentral:lncRNA from 1 species